CAUUUUUAAAUCAAUCACUUUGUCUCUGCACAAUGAACAUUAUCAAAUAUUAUUAAUGUUGUAAAAUAUAUUGUUCAUUGUUAGUUCAUAUUAGCUAAGGCAUUACCAAAUGUUAAGGAAUAAACUAUUGUAGUAAAGUGUUACUAAAUUUUUUUUUUACCAUUUCCUUCACAAUGUCUACUUAUUUCUAUGGCUAACAGAUUUUGUAACAUUUGUCUUUUUUACAGUCUUACCAUUGCUUGUAAGUCGGAUUGGGUAAGAUGGAUCAUCUUUAAAGGAACCAGGCAAGUACAUGAUGUACAGUUACAAGUCAUGUAUUUUUUUGACUGCAAUAUUAAAUGCUUUCACGUCACAUGUAAAAGUACAAAGGGAAUGUGGCUAAUCACUUUUUAUUUGUAGUUUACAUGAGUGUCAUUGCACUUUUCAGGAGUUAAGGCAGAUGUGGAGGCACAACGGGUGACACCAGACACACACCAAGCACAUUGUUCGGACAUUCAAUCAUGACAGGAUCCAGGUGGAUGCUGUCCAUUGAGGAAAGAGUUUGUUCAGCGGUUUCUGGAUAGAAUUAAUUCCAAAGAUGGGAAAAAGUGCACAUCCAGACAAGUAGCAAGCAAAAAGACAAGGAACUUGGUGCAGAGAAAAGCUGUGGCCAUAAACCCCCAUGUGAACAGCUUCAUGCAGUCCCUGAUUGAGUUCGAAUGGACGACUUCAA